CGGAGUGUAGCGCAGCUUGGUAGCGCAUCUGGUUUGGGACCAGGGGGUCGGGAGUUCGAAUCUCUCCACUCCGA
rnacentral:tRNA from 2 species